GAGGAGAUAGCAGGCUCCAGCUCUUAUAGAGCCUCGCCCUCCGUGGGGUGUCACUCCUGCAGCCGAGUCUGCCGUCCACUCCGAGGUCUGUUGAGUGAAUAUAAAUGCCUGGACCGCCGCACCACCACGGCCCACCGCCUCCGCACCACCAUGAGCCGCCUCCACCACACCACCAUGAGCCGCCUCCACCGCACCAUGGGCCUCCACCACACCACCAUGAGCCGCCUCCACCGCACCACCAUGAGCCGCCUCCACCACACCACCAUGAGCCGCCUCCACCGCACCACCACGGCCCACCGCCUCCACCACACCACCACGGGCCGCCCCCAGGUCCACCCCACCACCACCACCCGUACUGAGAGCUGAGCUCCGGAGUGGAUCCUCAGUCUAAUGCUGAUCUGAAUACCAACCAGCUGAAACAUGUAUGCCUUGUAUGUACUAAAUAAACUUUCGCCUAACUUUUGUUUA